CACAUGACUCUCGGCAACGGAUAUCUCGGCUCUCGCAUCGAUGAAGAACGUAGCAAAAUGCGAUACCUGGUGUGAAUUGCAAAAUCCCGUGAACCAUCGAGUUUUUGAACGCAAGUUGCGCCCGAGGCCUUUUGGUUGAGGGCACGUCUGCCUGGGCGUCACGC
rnacentral:rRNA from 1 species